rnacentral:rRNA from 1 species
AUUGAACGCUGGCGGCAUGCCUUACACAUGCAAGUCGAACGGCAGCGCGGGGCAACCUGGCGGCGAGUGGCGAACGGGUGAGUAAUAUAUCGGAACAUACCCUAGAGUGGGGAUAACGUAGCGAAAGUUACGCUAAUACCGCAUACGCACUAAGGUGGAAAGUGGGGGAUCUUCGGACCUCAUGCUCAUGGAGUGGCCGAUAUCUGAUUAGCUAGUUGGUGAGGUAAAGGCUCACCAAGGCGACGAUCAGUAGCUGGUUUGAGAGAACGACCAGCCACACUGGAACUGAGACACGGUCCAGACUCCUACGGAGGCAGCAGUGGGGAAUUUUGGACAAUGGGGGCAACCCUGAUCCAGCAAUGCCGCGUGAGUGAAGAAGGCCUUCGGGUU